rnacentral:rRNA from 1 species
CCUACGGGAGGCAGCAGUGGGGAAUAUUGGGCAAUGGAGGAAACUCUGACCCAGCAAAGCCGCGUGAAUGAUGAAGGUCCUAGGAUUGUAAAGUUCUUUUCUAAGGGAAGAAGAAAGUGACGGUACCUUAGGAAUAAGCAUCGGCUAACUACGUGCCAGCAGCCAAGGUAAUGCGUAGGAGGCGAGCGAUAUCCGGAAUGACUGGGCGUAAAGGGUGCGUAGGUGGUUUUGUAAGGUAGUAGCGUAACUCCAAGGCUCAACCUUGGAACUACUACUAAAACUGUUGGACUUGAGUGCAGGAGAGGCAACCGGAAUUCCUAGUGUAGCGGUGGAAUGCGUAGAUAUUAGGAAGAACACCAGUGGCGAAGGCAGGUUGCUAGACUGUUACUGACACUGAGGCACGAAAGCGUGGGGAGCGAACAGGAUUAGAUACCCGAGUAGUC